UUCCAACAUUCUAAAGUAUUACCCAGCUAUGAAACCAUUCAUGUGUCGCAAAGAGAACAUUGAUAGUGGGCAGCAAAACGUAUUAAGAGUUACCUCCCUUGAUAAUGCGAAGGAGCCGUCUGGCAUAAGGGCUAUUCACUGUACAUCAAUAAAGGAGGUUCCAGCCUGCGUCCCUGAGACAAGGUUUCUCCAUGUGAAUAGAACAGAUUCGUCCGCAUUCAGAAGUUUCCCCACAGUUUCCUCAUGUUGAUGGAACAGAUUUGUCCACAUUCAGAAGCUUCCCGAUAGUAAUGCAGAAGUUCUCCAUGUUGUAGUGGUUGGACAUGUGUUGAAUUGAAUCAUGUUCCAAUAUUACAGCUGGUUAAGUGCUGUAUUAAACGUCAUGACAUCUUCAAUAUGUAAUUCAGGAGCAACAACAUCCACAUCUGAGAACAUCUUGUAUCCUACAGUGAAGAGACAGAUAA